rnacentral:rRNA from 1 species
ACUGCGAGUGAAGAGGGAUUAGCCCAGCACCGAAGCCUGCGGUCAUUUGACUGCUAGGCAAUGUGGUGUUUAGGUUGGUUCUUGGCAUUACUGCUCCACCCUAAGUCCAGCAAUGAGUACGGCUUACUGGAUUGGCCCAUUGAGGGUGAAAGGCCCGUGUGGGUGGAGACUCAGAUUAUCAGUUUUGCCCUGAAUUAACCUUGGAGUCGGGUUGUUUGUGAAUGCAGCCCAAAGUGGGUGGUAAACUCCAUCUAAGGCUAAAUACUGGCACGAGUCCGAUAGCGAACAAGUACCGUGAGGGAAAGUUGAAAAGUACUUUGAAGAGAGAGUAAACAGUUCGUGAACCCGCUCAGAGGUAAACGGGUGGAGUUGAACUGGAAGCCCUGGGGAUUCAGCUGAUGAGUAUGGCAUGAGCUUGGGCAUAUUGGUCGGCUUUCAGAGUCCGCUUAGCUGCGGGUCCUUGCCCUAACGGGUUUGGAUGUGCGUUACGCUCAUUAGGCGUUGUGCGCUCUGUCUGUUCCGGGCCUGCUCGUCAGUGCACUUCCUCAGGGUGUUCACCACGACCGGCGCUGCUGUCUGUCUGUUACGGUCAAACCGGUUGGGCUUAGUCAUUUUGGCUAAGUUUGAUCGGGAUGGCAGGUAGCUCUUGAGAUUUUCUGGCUUCGGCUGGUAGAGCUCUUGAGUGUAAUUAGCCGACUGUAAUGGAUCUGUGCAGUGCGUCGGAGCUGGCGGCUUUGGUGUGUGUACGCGUGCUGUACCUUGCUGGCUUGGUCAAGUUUGGUUAAUGUGUUACCUGCUUCGGUGGGUCUAUUAAUGGCUUGACUUUGCGUAGUGAGUGGUGGCGCGUGCGACGCUAUCUAGGGCCAAAAGUCUGUGGUGUUGUGGUAAACUAUCCACCCGACCCGUCUUGAAACACGGACCAAGGAGUUUAACAUGUACGCGAGUCAUUGGGCGUUACGAAACCCAAAGGCGUAGUGAAAGUAAAGGUUCGGCUUGUCCGAGCUGAGGUGAGAUCCUGCUGUUUCUCUGCCUUGGACUACCAAGCAUUCGAGCAGUAGGCGCAUCACCGGCCCGUCUCAUGAUGUAGUCAUAUGACCUUUGGUUGUGUGCACCUUCGGGGCGGAGCUAGAGCGUACACGUUGAGACCCGAAAGAUGGUGAACUAUGCCUGCGGAGGUUGAAGCCAGAGGAAACUCUGGUGGAGGACCGCAGCGAUUCUGACGCGCAAAUCGAUCGUCUAACGUGGGUAUAGGGGCGAAAGACUAAUCGA